GCAACACCAACUGACACAAGCCGCAAAACUCUCACGGUUGUUUUCACUGCUUUAUGGAGUGGCAAAAUAUCCUCUUUACAGCAGAAGAGAAGCUCCAAGAUUUUAAAAUUUCUGAAGGGAGCUGCUGAUAGAGAAGCAAAAAACAUAGAUUCUUAUAUGCUGGUGAGUUGGAGUGGACAACAUCCCUAAGGCACUAUGAACCAUAUGACUAGAUCCUAUCUACCCAGCCUCAACCAUUGAUCAGAAGUACUGUGAAAGCGGGAACUCUUUGAAAUACCAGUGGCAGUUUCCACACGAUGGAAAAAGGGCAUAUGAAUGUUAUGAAUACUGAAAUUACCCUGCUGUAUUACACACUAGGGAUAGACAUUUUUGUGAAUUUUUCAUUUCAAGUACUGAUAGGUAUUUAUUUUGACAGUCUGGACGGCAUGUUGUCCUAACGCUAACCAGUCGAGCUUAGUCACCAUAUAUUUUAUUUAUUUAUAUUUAUAUAUAUAUAUAUUUUUUUUUUCCCAAAAAUAAUUUUAUGAACUAUCCUAUUAAAGAAAAUGUAUAGUAUGAUAAAUGUGAGGAUACUGAUCUAGAAGAAACGGGGCCAUAAAGAACCUAUUCUUUAGUGGUUCUUUGAAGGACCUUUAAAAAGGGUUCUUCGUAGUACCAGAAAAGGUUCUUUAUGGCCCCAAGUAAAACCCCGGUUCUUUAAAGAACCUUUCACAAAACGGUUCUUCAGGGAAACAACAAAGGUUCCUCUAUGGCAUUGCUGCGAAACACCCUUUUUGGGUCUUCCUGGCACCUUUUUUUUUUUUUUUUGAGUGUGGAGACACCUGUGCUAUCCCUUUUUUUUAACCCUAACCCUAAUCCCAACUUUUUUUUCUGCGGAAAGAACUUUUCCUGAUUUAUGUACGAUGUUGUGAUAACACCAAAAGGUUGUGCUUUUUUUUAAAAAACAGAACAUAAACGAGAUGCACUUUCUGCCGUCCCUGCACGUCACAGCAAUGAACUGGCUACAUGCCUCACAAAGAAAUCCAUGGAAAGCUCCAUUUUUUUUAUUUUUAUUUUUUUUAUGUGUGUGGGUGCUAUGGGGGUGCUUUGGUCUUUCUUGGAGGUGCUGAAGCAGCUGCUGGCCCCUUCCAUGUUUAUUACAAUUACAAAAAAAAAUAUUUCUGCAUCUAUUUUAGGUGUGCCAGGGUGUGCCGGCACACCUAAAAAUAGAUGCAGAAAUAUUUUUUUUUAUAAUUGUCUACGCCCCUGUUUAUGAGCAAUGUUGCUGGGCAACUUUCCCAUUGAGAAUGGGUAACAACUUUAUAUCUGGAUACUUUAGAUUGGUUGUGUGCCCUGUGCCUCACCUGGUUGCCGUUGAAGGCAACAUUGUCCAGCAACAUUGCUAAAAAAGUUGCCCCGUGUAUCAUCACCUUAAUUGUUUUCACCACACUUCUGUGACAUUUUAGUCAUAGCUUUUUAUUUUGUCAGACUCAGAGGUAGCGCCUGUGUAGUGCCAAAUGAACUUGGCGACGGUCACAUGGUCCAAGUCCUAACUCUAAUCAGAAUAUUCCAAGUUUAGUUGUUGUAAUAUGAGUUCAGGAGCACGCAAGGGUUAAUAGUGUUGCCACAGAAACACAUAAUUCAGAUGUCACGUGUUGUCAUCUCAGAAUUGCGACAUGGCCUGAAUGCCAUCUGAGGUAAAAAUGUCACAUAAAGAUUAAAUGUCACAAGACGUGCGAACUGUCACGAGAUUGUUUGUGUUCAUGUAAAGGGAUAUGGCCUGCGUCCGAAAGCUCUAAAAUGCUGCCUUCGGAGGCAGCAUUUCAAGGCAGGAAGGCAUCAAGGAACGUCCAAAUCCAAAUACUGCUUCACUUCCUGUCUCGGGAGGUACCUUCUUUUGAUCGAACUUUGAAGGCAGCAUAGAAGUAUCCUUCGCUGCCUUCGAUUACCCACAAUCCUGUGCGUGUGCAGCUAUAUAAAUAAAGAUA